rnacentral:tRNA from 1 species
GCCCGGGUGGUGAAAUUGGUAGACACAAGGGAUUUAAAAUCCCUCGCUAGAAAUAGCGUGCCGGUUCAAGUCCGGCUCCGGGUACCA